rnacentral:rRNA from 1 species
UCUGUAGGUGGUUUAAUAAGUCAACUGUUAAAUCUUGAGGCUCAACCUCAAAAUCGCAGUCGAAACUAUUAGACUAGAGUAUAGUAGGGGGUAAAGGGAAUUUCCAGUGGAGCGGUGAAAUGCGUAGAUAUUGGGAGGAACACCGAUGGCGAAGGCACUUUACUGGGCUAUUACUAACACUCAGAGACGAAAGCUAGGGUAGCAAAUG